rnacentral:rRNA from 1 species
UGGGGAAUUUUGGACAAUGGGCGCAAGCCUGAUCCAGCCAUGCCGCGUGCAGGAUGAAGGCCUUCGGGUUGUAAACUGCUUUUGUACGGAACGAAAAGGUGCCUUCUAAUAAAGGGCGCUCAUGACGGUACCGUAAGAAUAAGCACCGGCUAACUACGUGCCAGCAGCCGCGGUAAUACGUAGGGUGCGAGCGUUAAUCGGAAUUACUGGGCGUAAAGCGUGCGCAGGCGGUUUUGUAAGACAGAUGUGAAAUCCCCGGGCUUAACCUGGGAACUGCGUUUGUGACUGCAAGGCUGGAGUACGGCAGAGGGGGGUGCAAUUCCACGUGUAGCAGUGAAAUGCGUAGAGAUGUGGAGGAACACCGAUGGCGAAGGCAGCCCCCUGGGCCUGUACUGACGCUCAUGCACGAAAGCGUGGGGAGCAAACA